rnacentral:rRNA from 1 species
ACUCGAUGUUGGCGAUAUACGGUCAGCGUCUAAGCGAAAGCGUUAAGUAUUCCACCUGGGGAGUACGCCCGCAAGGGUGAAACUCAAAGGAAUUGACGGGGGCCCGCACAAGCGGAGGAGCAUGUGGUUUAAUUCGAUGAUACGCGAGGAACCUUACCCGGGCUUGAAAGUUAGUGAAUUGAGCAGAGACGCUCAAGUCCUUCGGGACACGAAACUAGGUGCUGCGNGGCUGUCGUCAGCUCGUGCCGUGAGGUGUUGGGUUAAGUCCCGCAACGAGCGCAACCCCUAUGUUUAGUUGCCAGCACGUUAAGGUGGGGACUCUAAACAGACUGCCUAUGCAAAUAGAGAGGAAGGAGGGGACGACGUCAAGUCAUCAUGGCCCUUACGUCCGGGGCUACACACGUGCUACAAUGGAUGGUAUAGAGGGCUGCUACCUGGCAACAGGAUGCCAAUCUCUCAAAGCCAUUCACAGUUCGGAUCGGGGUCUGCAACUCGACCCCGUGAAGUUGGAUUCGCUAGUAAUCGCGUAUCAGCAAUGACGCGGUGAAUACGUUCCCGGGCCUUGUACACACCGCCCGUCAAGCCAUGGAAGCUGGAAGUGCCUGAAGUGCGUAACCGCAAGGAGCGUCCUAGGGUAAAGUCGGUAACUGGGGCUAAGUCGUAANCAAGGUACC